UACAGAGGUCCCAAGCGUUGUUCGGAUUCAUUGGGCGUAAAGGGUGCGUAGGCGGCCCGGUAAGUCAGUGGUGAAAGCCUCCAGCUCAACUGGAGAACUGCCAUUGAUACUGCCGGGCUUGAGUACAGACGAGGUUGGCGGAAUUGAUUGUGUAGCGGUGAAAUGCAUAGAUACAAUCAAGAACUCCGAUUGCGUAGGCAGCUAACUAGGCUGUAACUGACGCUGAGGCACGAAAGCGUGGGGAGCGAACAGG
rnacentral:rRNA from 1 species